rnacentral:rRNA from 1 species
UACGUAGGGUGCGAGCGUUGUCCGGAAUUAUUGGGCGUAAAGAGCUUGUAGGCGGUCUGUCGCGUCUGCUGUGAAAAUCCGGGGCUCAACCCCGGACUUGCAGUGGGUACGGGCAGACUAGAGUGUGGUAGGGGAGACUGGAAUUCCUGGUGUAGCGGUGAAAUGCGCAGAUAUCAGGAGGAACACCGAUGGCGAAGGCAGGUCUCUG